GUAACAAGGUCUCCGUAGGUGAACCUGCGGAGGGAUCCAUAGCAAUCAUAUUGAUUGGCGAUCAUUCUUGGGAAUGGUAUGGGAGUAAUCCUAUAACGCCAUCUCAUCCAUGGCUAAGGCUAGUUGCUGUACCUCAGCACUUAGACCUGGGUCUUCUUGCCUUUGUGCCCCUGCAAUAUGCGGACUCUACUACCAUAGAAAGCCGUGCGGAUGGUACGGGUUGGCAUUUGGUCUAUGACCUUGCCGGCCAGGGGCUCCGCGCCACUCUAUUCGAGUGGCACGUAGGGGCUUAGGCUUCUGCGGGAGUCCCUUUGACAUACUUUAUCCAAAAACUAUCAGUACCUUGGUGGACUAGUGCCCCAAGUAAUAAUAUAAUAACACUGUACAAUGGAUUUCUUGGCUCCCACGUCGAUGAAGAACGCAGCAAAGCGCGAUAGGUAGUGUGAAUUGCAGAAUUCCGUGAAUCAUCGAAUUUUUGAACGCAUAUUGCGCCCUAGAUCUCGGUCUUGGGCAUGUCUGCCUCAGCGUCGUUUUCAAUGGUUUACCGACAAUGUCUCUUGCCUGUCAUUAGGUGAGCAUGAGCUAAAACCUUGUACUCUUCGUGCUCAGCACGACGUGCAACAGUGGUCUUCCUCAACACUGUUCAUCGUGAGCAAGCUGCUUUUAUAGCAACCGCUAUUAUCGUGGACAGAUGGAUGAGGCUGAAAAUGGCCAGCUGUUACAACCAUUCGACCUGAG
rnacentral:misc_RNA from 1 species